GCUCACCAAACACGCCUACCAUCAGAUUUCCUCUGCUUCUUCUCUUUCACUUCUAAUUAGAAACCCUAACACACAUUACUCUCACCCUCUUAAUCUAUACAUAAACAUACACACAGACAACACCCUAGCCGACACCCCCUUUCUCUUCUCUUGCUCAAUCGCCGGCGACCAGGAGCCGGUCACCGGUGCCGGCCGUCGCACACCCCCCCCGAUUGACAACGCGGAGCACCACCACCACUAUCCGGUGGUGGUGCGGUGACGAAAACAAGCAGACAGACACAGAGAGAUGGAAACGAGAGAUAGAGAGGGAGAUCAGAGAAGAUCGGAGGACGAGAAGAGGGGCCGGCGGAGCCGGUGUCGAGCUCCGGCGGCGGCAGCAGCGGUCACGAGACAGAAACUCCGGUUUCGGUUGUGCUUUUCGGUGAAUAAUGAUGAGGUACAUGUUCGGGUGAUGGUUUUACUCCCGGGUCAGAUUUGGGCUGCGGGUCAGUCAUGGUUCGGGUCACGGUUCGGGAUUUUGUUCAAUUUUGGUUCGGCUUUGUAGUAAAUCGGGUCAGAUUUGAGGUUCACAGACUUGAUUCAAGUCUCGGGUCAACCACGGGUCAACCAGGGGUCACGCAGUUCAGAUUUCGGGCUCGGGUUUUGGCUCGGGCGUGGUGCAACUCGGGUCGGUUCGUGUCAAGAAGUCAGCAGCAGUUCGGUUCGUGACUCGGGUUUUGGGACAAAUUUGCACCUCGGUCAGUCGGUUCAACUCAGAUCUGGGGUUCGAGUAGUCACAUCAGCAGGAUCGGGUCACGGUUCACGUCAGUUAUGUUUCGGGUUCACAUCGGGUCCGAUUCGGUUUGAGUUUCGGUUCAACAGUCAAACGGGUUUUGGUUCGAGAUCGAUCAAGCUCAGAUCGGGUUCAACACGUUCAGCAACUCAGUCAACACCCGAGUCAACUCGGUCAACAGCGAGUCAACCCAGUCAAAAUGGUCAAACUUGGUCAACGGUAGUCAGUCAAGACCCGGUAAAGUUUUAACGAUGCGUUAGACUUUAUAUAUGGAUUCGUUAGAUUUUUUUUAGUCUACGCGAACCGAGCUUGAACCGUCGUACUCUAGUUUACUUAUUUUAGUGGUCGUUAUAUUUUGCGAAAGAUAUAUAUAAUUGUGAUUUGUUUAAUGUUGAGUUUUGACAAAAUAUGACGACUUUUAUUGUCGGGUUAUUCGAAAAACAGAGGAAACUCUGCCCGAUUGUCGUAAAAAUCCGACACUUAUCGAAGAUUAGAGUAUUUCUUUUAAGGAUAAAAAUAAAGCAUAUUUAUUUUGGCGACA